UUCGAACGCGAUUUUAUUCCCGGUAAACUGUAUUCGAGUAAAAUAUCGUUGAAAAUUUAAAAUAUUUACAAAAAUGGACGUUUCUUUCAACGGAAAUUACAGACGGCGCCACUGGAUUUCUUCCGAUUUGAAAAAUGUUCCGUUAAAAUCGAACGGCCGAAAGACGUUUGACUCGACGACGAGAAGAAAAAUGGAAUACAUUUUCUGUCAUUAAUUCAUUUUGUGAAAGGCCAAUUGUUCCGAGGAGAAAUCGAAGAAAAGCUGUCGGCCAUUUAAAGUGUCGAUUCGAAGAAGAAAAUCUCUUUGACGAUUAUAUUAGAAAGGAAAAAAGAAGGAAGAUUUCCUCGGAAGCCGAAGACGAUUUCUCGGGUAACAUUUCGCGAAAUAUCGAAUGGCCCUAGAUUUUGGCUUGUGGAGUGCAUUUUUCAAAUCACAAUUUUCGAGAAAAGGUUAGAAAUUAUUGAAGAAUUUGAAAUUAUAAAAACAAUCGAAGAUGUAAAUACGAAAAUGAAAGGAAAGGAUCUCCGUAAAAUACGAUUUCGAACCCGGCUUUAAUUUUAUGGCGUGACGUGUCCAAGAAAGAAUUUCUAAAAUUAUUUCAAUUGUUAUAUAAAAUAAUGUAUGACGUAAUUCUCGUAUCUGAUUUUAUUCCGAACUUUGUUAUUUUCAGAUUCACUUUCAACCAAUAAAGAACGUCUUUGUAAUAGAGAAUUGUUUCCGGGGACACACGAAAACUACUGAAGGAUGUGUUCGACUUCUGUCGUUAAAGAAACACUAAAAUUGAAGCCAGUGUUAAGAAAAUACACAAGAAUAUAACAACAAAGAAACCAUCUUUCCAGCAAAUGAAGAAAAAGAGAAAAAUUAAGAAGAUAUUUUAAAUUAUUUUCGAAUAUGUUAUUUUGCGACAUACACUUCACAUAAAUUGUUUAGAAAAAAAUGUAUAAAUGACAUUAAUUUGUGACUGUAUUGUAUUUGUACGCGUUUGGCAAUAUUUGUGAAUACCGGCGUAAGCAGUUUGUGUGUGAUCUAAGGUGUGAUGUGAUGUGAUCCAGUUAAUUGUAAGGUUUAAAUUUUAGUUUAAAGAAAUUUGAUAGAAGGAAAAGUCUUUUUGUAUCUGCACUCAAAACUUUAACAGUUCUUUAGAAUUAGUACGCUUAAAUUUAAACAUUUGAUUGACAAUAAAUUGAAGGGAGUUUUGAUCAUUAAGUUUUAAAAUUUCUGAUAUUUUACAGGUUUAAACCUCCAGAAGAGAAAGAAUGGGAAGUAUCGAUGUGACAGUUGCGAGAAAGAGUUCGCUUCGAAGUAUAAUUUAAAAUAUCAUCAAACGAUUCACACUGGAGAAGGGCUAUUGUCUUGCAAAUUUUGUACU
rnacentral:lncRNA from 1 species